UACGGAGGGUGCGAGCGUUGUCCGGAAUCACUGGGCGUAAAGGGCGCGUAGGCGGCCUGAUAAGUAGGGGGUGAAAUCCUGCGGCUUAACCGCAGGGCUGCCUUCUAAACUGUCAGGCUAGAGCACAGUAGAGGCAGGUGGAAUUCCCGGUGUAGCGGUGGAAUGCGUAGAGAUCGGGAAGAACAUCGGUGGCGAAGGCGGCCUGCUGGGCUGUUGCUGACGCUGAGGCGCGACAGCGUGGGGAGCAAACAGG
rnacentral:rRNA from 1 species